CCUACGGGUGGCAGCAGUGGGGAAUAUUGGGCAAUGGGCGCAAGCCUGACCCAGCAAUGCCGCGUGAAGGAAGAAGGCUUUCGGGUUGUAAACUUCUUUUAAGAGGGAAGAGCAGAAGACGGUACCUCUUGAAUAAGCUACGGCUAACUACGUGCCAGCAGCCGCGGUAAUACGUAGGUGGCAAGCGUUGUCCGGCUUUACUGGGUGUAAAGGGCGUGCAGCCGGGAAGACAAGUCAGAUGUGAAAUCCCGCGGCUGAACCGCGGAACUGCAUUUGAGACUGUUUAUCUUGAGUACCGGAGAGGUCGUCAGAAUUCCAUGUGUAGCGGUGAAAUGCGUAGAUAUGAGGAGGAACACCAGUGGCGAAGGCGGAUGACUGGACAGCGACUGACGGUGAGGCGCGAAAGCGUGGGGAGCAAACAGGAUUAGAUACUCGGGUAGUC
rnacentral:rRNA from 1 species